AACGAACGCUGGCGGCAGGCCUAACACAUGCAAGUCGAACGCUCGUAGCAAUACGAGAGUGGCAGACGGGUGAGUAACACGUGGGAACCUUCCCUAUGGUUCGGAAUAGCUCAGGGAAACUUGAGGUAAUACCGGAUAAGCCCUUACGGGGAAAGAUUUAUCGCCAUUGGAUGGGCCCGCGUCGGAUUAGCUAGUUGGUGAGGUAACGGCUCACCAAGGCGACGAUCCGUAGCUGGCUGAGAGGAUGAUCAGCCACACUGGGACUGAGACACGGCCCAGACUCCUACGGGAGGCAGCAGUGGGGAAUAUUGGACAAUGGGCGCAAGCCUGAUCCAGCCAUGCCGCGUGAGUGACGAAGGCCUUAGGGUUGUAAAGCUCUUUUGGCGGGGGAAGGAUAAUGACGGUACCCGCAGAAUAAGCUCCGGCUAACUUCGUGCCAGCAGCCGC
rnacentral:rRNA from 1 species